rnacentral:rRNA from 1 species
UACGAAGGGGGCUAGCGUUGUUCGGAUUUACUGGGCGUAAAGCGCACGUAGGCGGAUCUUUAAGUCAGAGGUGAAAUCCCAAGGCUCAACCUUGGAACUGCCUUUGAUACUGGAGAUCUUGAGUCCGGGAGAGGUGAGUGGAACUGCGAGUGUAGAGGUGAAAAUUCGUAGAUAUUCGCAAGAACACCAGUGGCGAAGGCGGCUCACUGGCCCGGUACUGACGCUGAGGUGCGAAAGCGUGGGGAGCAAACAGGAUUAGAAACCCUUGA